UACGAAGGGGGCUAGCGUUGCUCGGAAUCACUGGGCGUAAAGGGUGCGUAGGCGGGUCUUUAAGUAGGGUGAAAUCCUGGAGCUCAACUCCAGAACUGCCUUUGAUACUGAGGAUCUUGAGUUCGGGAGAGGUGAGUGGAACUGCGAGUGUAGAGGUGAAAUUCGUAGAUAUUCGCAAGAACACCAGUGGCGAAGGCGGCUCACUGGCCCGAUACUGACGCUGAGGCACGGAAAGCGUGGG
rnacentral:rRNA from 1 species